rnacentral:rRNA from 1 species
CGAAACCGAUAGCGAACAAGUACCGUGAGGGAAAGUUGAAAAGUACUCUGAAUAGAGAGUUAAAUAGUACGUGAAACCGCUUAGGGGUUAAGCCCGAUGAACCCGAAUAUCUGAUGUGAGAAAUUCAAUACGAUUCAAAUUCAUUUUUUAUAUUGGAUUUGUAUAGUAUGCACUUUUCUCAUAGUAAGACAUUGUAAUCCAUUGAUAUUAUAUCUCAUAUGAGAUGAUUUAACAUACGGACAAAAUGUUUAUGAUUAUUCUAUCAGUGAUAUGUUUACAUGUCAUAUGAAUAAAAUCGUUUUGUUUCCUGUUUAAAUAGUCGAUGGAUUUUUCAUUGAAAUCAUGCUUGCAAUUUAUUUUGCGUUUCGUAUUAUUAAUUUUUAAUUGGUGAUAGCAGAAAUGGCAUGUAUUCGAUUAACAAUGCGAUAGAUUUGGGAUACUUUCAGGACCCGUCUUGA